GACGAACGCUGGCGGCGUGCCUAAUACAUGCAAGUUGAGCGAUGAAGAUUGGUGCUUGCACCAAUUUGAAGAGCAGCGAACGGGUGAGUAACGCGUGGGGAAUCUGCCUUUGAGCGGGGGACAACAUUUGGAAACGAAUGCUAAUACCGCAUAACAACUUUAAACAUAAGUUUUAAGUUUGAAAGAUGCAAUUGCAUCACUCAAAGAUGAUCCCGCGUUGUAUUAGCUAGUUGGUGAGGUAAAGGCUCACCAAGGCGAUGAUACAUAGCCGACCUGAGAGGGUGAUCGGCCACAUUGGGACUGAGACACGGCCCAAACUCCUACGGGAGGCAGCAGUAGGUAAUCUUCGGCAAUGGACGAAAGUCUGACCGAGCAACGCCGCGUGAGUGAAGAAGGUUUUCUGAUCGUAAAACUCUGUUGGUAGAGAAGAACGUUGGUGAGAGUGGAAAGCUCAUCAAGUGACGGUAACUACCCAGAAAGGGACGGCUAACUACGUG
rnacentral:rRNA from 1 species